CCUACGGGAGGCAGCAGUGAGGAAUAUUGGUCAAUGGGCGAGAGCCUGAACCAGCCAAGUCGCGUGAGGGAGUACUGCCCUAUGGGUUGUAAACCUCUUUUGUCGGGGAGCAAAAGCCGGACGUGUCCGGCUGUGAGAGUACCCGAAGAACAAGCAUCGGCUAACUCCGUGCCAGCAGCCGCGGUAAUACGGAGGAUGCGAGCGUUAUCCGGAUUUAUUGGGUUUAAGGGGUGCGAAGGCGGAUUUUUAAGUCAGCGGUAAAAUCGUGGGGCUCAACCCCAUCCAGCCGUUGAAACUGGGGAUCUAGAGUGUGCGAGAGGUAUGCGGAAGGCGUGGUGUAGCGGUGAAAUGCAUAGAUAUCACGCAGAACCCCGAUUGCGAAGGCAGCAUACCGGUGCACAACUGACGCUCAGGCACGAAAGCGUGGGUAUCGAACAGGAUUAGAUACCCCUGUAGUC
rnacentral:rRNA from 1 species